rnacentral:rRNA from 1 species
UGUGUAGGAUAGGUGGGAGGCUUUGAAGUGUGGACGCCAGUCUGCAUGGAGCCGACCUUGAAAUACCACCCUUUAAUGUUUGAUGUUCUAACGUUGACCCGUGAUCCGGGUUGCGGACAGUGUCUGGUGGGUAGUUUGACUGGGGCGGUCUCCUCCUAAAGAGUAACGGAGGAGCACGAAGGUUGGCUAAUCCUGGUCGGACAUCAGGAGGUUAGUGCAAUGGCAUAAGCCAGCUUGACUGCGAGCGUGACGGCGCGAGCAGGUGCGAAAGCAGGUCAUAGUGAUCCGGUGGUUCUGAAUGGAAGGGCCAUCGCUCAACGGAUAAAAGGUACUCCGGGGAUAACAGGCUGAUACCGCCCAAGAGUUCAUAUCGACGGCGGUGUUUGGCACCUCGAUGUCGGCUCAUCACAUCCUGGGGCUGAAGUAGGUCCCAAGGGUAUGGCUGUUCGCCAUUUAAAGUGGUACGCGAGCUGGGUUUAGAACGUCGUGAGACAGUUCGGUCCCUA